GAAGAUAAUGCAAAAAGCCUUCUUCAAAGCCAACUGGAUCACCGUCCUUUCUCACUAAGGAACAUCUUCAUUUGCAUAUGCAGAGAACCUGGAAGCACAGUUAUGGCUUAAGGAAAACUUGCUCCUGUUUACUUAUCAAGACAGUGUUCCUAUCUUAAUUAUCCCUCUGUGUCCUCAACCUGAUUCAAUGACUUCCAGAAAAGUAGGAGUCCUAAAUUCUGGAACGUAGCGUUAGAGACUUAUCUCGGACUGUUGGAGGGACACUCCUCAGGCAGCUGGAAUCCCGAGCAGAAGGCCAGCAUUCUCCUCCAGAAUCAGGAGUUCAAGACUGAAUGAAUGUGGCAUUGCACCAAAGACCACAAACUGGAAGGAAAUUUUACAACUGACUACCGCCCCAUAGGGCAGGAUUAGAUUGUGAGCCCCACGCUUCUGAAGGUGGUAUUUCCCAUGGCUUCCCAAACAGUGUGGGAGGGAGACCAGAGGACAGUUUUACCAAGCACGUACACCAGGCCCCAUGACACACCCGAGGGUCAUGCUGCCUCACUGCCCGAAGCCUCACUCCCCUGGCAGGUGUACUGGAGACACCAUAUCUGCUCACCAGUACUGCCUAUAAGACUCCCAUCAGCACCAAUUAGGGGGCAGUACAAGAUGAACUGAGUUUGUGAAACGCCCGUUUCCUCUAGUCUUCCGUCAUAUCCCCCAAGUCACCUGUUAUCUGUGGAGUCCCACCACCCCCACAUUCCUCCCCAGAGGUUGCCUUGACCAAGGCUUAAGAAUGAGACCAAGGUCUGGUCUACAUUUUGGGGUAGAGAUCAGAUUAUGACAGUCGGAACAAGUUUCAAAUUUGAAGAAGGGCAAAUUAAGGAAAGGGAUGAAAAAAUAGGAGCAGUUUUACAAAGAAAGUCUUGAAGAAUAUUUAGGAUAGUCACUGGUUGUGAGAAUGUGAAAAGGGAUUUCCAUAACUUGGCUUAGUAAAGUUCACUGGUGUACUAAGAAUUAUUUAAUAGCUUUCCCGCUUUGGAUCCUCAGUACCCUCUCUCUCUGCCCCCCACUUCAAGCUCUCUGGCACUCUUGCAUUCUCUCCAAAAUGAAUAAGCAUUAAAAAAAU